rnacentral:rRNA from 1 species
GUGGGGAAUAUUGGGCAAUGGGGGAAACCCUGACCCAGCGACGCCGCGUGAGGGAAGAAGGCCUUAGGGUCGUAAACCUCUGUUGUGUGGGAAGAAGAGCGUGACGGUACCACACGAGGAAGUCCCGGCUAACUACGUGCCAACAGCCGCGGUAAUACGUAGGGGACGAGCGUUGUCCGGAUUUACUGGGCGUAAAGGGCGCGUAGGCGGUCAUUUAAGUCAGCUGUGAAAUGGUUUGGCUUAACCGGAUCAUGCGGUUGAAACUGGAUGACUGGAGUGCUGGAGAGGCAAGUGGAAUUCCCAGUGUAGCGGUGAAAUGCGUAGAUAUUGGGAAGAACACCGGUGGCGAAGGCGACUUGCUGGCCAGCAACUGACGCUGAGGCGCGAAAGCCAGGGGAGCAAACGGGAUUAGAAACCCUGGUAGUCC